AACGAACGCUGGCGGCAUGCCUAACACAUGCAAGUCGAACGAGACCUUCGGGUCUAGUGGCGCACGGGUGCGUAACGCGUGGGAACCUGCCCUUAGGUUCGGAAUAACUCCCCGAAAGGGGUGCUAAUACCGGAUAAUGUCUUCGGACCAAAGAUUUAUCGCCUUUGGAUGGGCCCGCGUUGGAUAGCUAGUUGGUGGGGUAAAAGCCUACCAAGGCGACGAUCCAUAGCUGGUCUGAGAGGAUGAUCAGCCACACUGGGACUGAGACACGGCCCAGACUCCUACGGGAGGCAGCAGUGGGGAAUAUUGGACAAUGGGCGAAAGCCUGAUCCAGCAAUGCCGCGUGAGUGAUGAAGGCCUUAGGGUUGUAAAGCUCUUUUACCCGGGAUGAUAAUGACAGUACCGGGAGAAUAAGCGCCGGCUAACUCCGUG
rnacentral:rRNA from 1 species